rnacentral:rRNA from 1 species
GAAUUCGCCCUUAGAGUUUGAUCCUGGCUCAGGACGAACGCUGGCGGCGUGCCUAACACAUGCAAGUCGAACGGAGUUGAAAGGAGCUUGCUUUUUUCAACUCAGUGGCGGACGGGUGAGUAACGCGUGAGUAACCUGCCUUUCAGAGGGGGAUAACGUUCUGAAAAGAACGCUAAUACCGCAUAAGAUUGUAGUUUCGCAUGGGACAGCAAUCAAAGGAGCAAUCCGCUGAAAGAUGGACUCGCGUCCGAUUAGAUAGUUGGCGGGGUAACGGCCCACCAAGUCGACGAUCGGUAGCCGGACUGAGAGGUUGAUCGGCCACAUUGGGACUGAGACACGGCCCAGACUCCUACGGGAGGCAGCAGUGAGGGAUAUUGGGCAAUGGGGGAAACCCUGACCCAGCAACGCCGCGUGAGGGAUGACGGUUUUCGGAUUGUAAACCUCUGUCCUCUGUGAAGAUAGUGACGGUAGCAGAGGAGGAAGCUCCGGCUAACUACGUGCCAGCAGCCGCGGUAAUACGUAGGGAGCGAGCGUUGUCCGGAUUUACUGGGUGUAAAGGGUGCGUAGGCGGAUUGGCAAGUCAGAAGUGAAAUCCAUGGGCUUAACCCAUGAACUGCUUUUGAAACUGUUAGUCUUGAGUGAAGUAGAGGUAGGCGGAAUUCCCGGUGUAGCGGUGAAAUGCGUAGAGAUCGGGAGGAACACCAGUGGCGAAGGCGGCCUACUGGGCUUUAACUGACGCUGAGGCACGAAAGUGUGGGUAGCAAACAGGAUUAGAUACCCUGGUAGUCCACACUGUAAACGAUGAUU